CUGUGCACUUGGCAGCUUGGAGUGACACAAUCUCGAGCAAAAGCGGAACCUCCGGAUCUUUUGUCAUUGGCCACGAGCUGCAGAGAGAAUGUCAACACCAAAGGACAAGAGAGGGCCUGCAACCGCCCCCCCUUCAUUUGAUGUUUUUAGAAAAAACAGGUGCAUCCCAGAGAGUUUAGGGCAUGUAAAUGUAUAACGAGUUCAUAGUGGAUUCAAGGGAAUAAUGUGUGGGUGAGAAAUUCCAAUGCUGGUGAGCAGCAAACUGACCGUGGUCUGCAGACAUGGUGUCCUUGGCCUGGACAGUGUCUUACAAAAUCUGAGGGAGCCUCAGUGGCAGAAGCUCCUUGUGUAAUGGUGCACGGCCAACUGCAUUUCCCGGCUUCCCCAGCAUGGAGCAGGGACCACACGACUGAGUUCUGCCAAUGGGAUGUGUGCUUCUAGGCCCUGUCAGUGAAAAUCCUUCUCCCGGUCUCUCUCUCUGUAUCUGCACCUGAAGGCAUGGAAGGAAAAAUGUCAAGAAGAUGCAGAUUCCCAAGCGGAGAAGAGCCUUUGUCCCUGAAGGAUCUGACAGUCUCCUGCGUCACCUGCACUGGCUGUGAGAGAGAGACAAGCUGGGGCAGCGGAAGAGGGAGCAGGGAGCCUGACGCGGGACUCAAUCAUAGGACCCUGGGAUCAUGACCUGAGCCGAAGGCAGACGCUUAACGACUGAGCCACCCAGGCGCCCCACUGAUGCAUCUCUUAAGAGAGCACCUGAGACCCCACAAAAUUAGGCCAAGUUAGCACACAAACACAGGGAACCACAGGCUUGCUAAUUUUCAACAGAUCACCAGCUGCCAUUUCACUUCCGAAUGGAUUUCUCCCUGAGCCCACUUGAUAUGCUUCAGCUUAGUGGAGGGUGACAGGAAGUCAGGGAGACUUGAAACCUUGUCAACUGAACGACAGCUGAAGGAAAUGGGAACACACAGCUUGGAGAAGAGAAACAUGAGGGCCCCAAGGGAUGGCAUCACAUAGCUGACUUGUGGCCACAUGUGAGAAGGAGCAGGCUUACUCUGAGUUACCCACAGUGUGGUACAAAAUGCAAACUUCAGGCAAGCGGAUUUGGGCUCAGUUUAGGUGAUUUCUCUUUUUUGUUAUUAUUAAAUGUUUUUGAGAAAUAUGUUUUAAUGAUAAAAAUAGCACAUGCUCUUUGUUAAAAAAAUAUUUAAACAAUAACAAAACAUAUAAGGUGGAAAGUAAAAGCCUUCCUCUUUUCUCUUGUUCUCCUUCCCUUGUCCACAUCCACUCCUUGGAAUGCCCCCCGUCGCCUCCCCCAUUCCUACCUCUGCGCAGGCACACGUGUUACCUGUACAUACAUGCAUACCAUAUGUGUACAGAGAAUUUUGCCUAUUUUUGUUUGAUUAAAAAAUAGACUCAUAAAAUGGGCAUGUCUCAGGGGGUGACGAAAAAGCAGUCUGAUAUGGAAAUUUCUCUUAUUUCCGAAUGACGUUAAACAGAGAUGCCUCGUGGAAGGAUGUGAAAUAGUCCCCAGGCCUUUAUUGACUGUUAGUCAAUUUUACUUAACCUGUUUUGACACUGUUUUCAUUAAAAACGUUUCACUAGGUGCCUCGAAAAAUUGAAGUAGACAUUUUGUUCUGAUACCCCUUUUUAAGAGAAACGAUGUUCAAAUGACUCAAGCUUUUUGAAAAUGGAGGGGCUGCCUGGGAAAUCUUGGUCACUGGCUAUGGCCGAGGUUGGCUGACCACUUGGCUGGGCGGCUGUGGGGGACAGUGAAGCCACAGAUGGACAGGAGAAGAGAGACGGCCCGCGUGCCUUCCAAGAGCUGUGGCAGCGCUCUGAUUCCCUGACUUCCUGCGCCAGCUCCCCUGGGCGGUGAGAAAGAUCCGGGAAGAGGCCCUGCUCGCCGUGCACCCCCCACCCCUGCAGGAACAGUGCGCGCGCAGCCUGCCCGGUGCCGGAGCGGCCCACGGGCACGUGGCUGGUGGACAGGGACGCCUGCCUGGGGGCCAUGCGUGCUUGAGCCGCUCUUUGGACUUCGCGAGCUUUCA